rnacentral:lncRNA from 1 species
AUAUCUCGGUAUACAAGAAGGAGGAUGUUCCUCCUAAAUUUGUGAAUGGGAGGCCGUUCUUAACAACGGUGCAACUUUCUAAGUUGUCGACUCCGGAGAUUAGAAUGCAUGAGUGGUACAUGGUGGCUAGCUGUAACACUCCAGGUUCCACAAACAACCCGGUAUGCUACUGUACUACACUUCCGACGUCCAUAUAUAAAAUUUCGGCAGCAUCCCCUUUGCAAGAUUGCAUAAAAGAGGGAGCAACGGAGUAUAAACAUAUAUCAUGACUAAAACAUACUAAGUAUUAUUACUCGGCUAGCAAGGAAAGAUAAACAUACGACCUGAACUGAAUUAACCAGUGCGCACGACCAUAUAAAAAAAAUAAACAAACUUCCAUUGACAAUAAGUUUCUAAUUAAAUCAUGGUUGCGCCUGGGCAGCGUUAUUGUGAGAGUGAAAGUGGACGUGCUGCUACUCCCCUCAUUCCCAACAUGUAUCAAGUACCUGCAUUGAGUAAUGCAAGAGUGAGAUGACACAUCUCAGCAAGUAAAAUAAUAUCAAACAGUUUAACCACAUAAGAACAUUGUUUUACCACCACUUAAUUCCACAACCUUCUUAUUACGAAGGUGCAGCACGUAUACAACGUACAACGCACCUAGUUACCACACCUCGCAGGUAGAAACCACAAUAGUAACAUAGUAAUGUCACACUUCAUAUAUUCCUCAUGAGUGCAAAUGUCUGCAAAUGCAAGGAUGACUUCUGCCUUCAUACCUCUAAGGAUAUGAAGCCGCAUCGUACCCCUCCUCGGGCAACGUACGAUGCUAAAAAUGUACCGGUACGGUCGGACCAUAAGAUCACGACAUAACUUCAAAAUGCAAGAUGGAUGAUGCGAUGUGCAUGUCAUGCCUACAACACUUCAUAUAACAUGAUUCAAAAAGACACUUCAACUUCAUCCAGAUGGGAAUCAACCACAUAUAUCAUUACCAAAUUAUGAUCAUCCACAAUAUUAGACAAUUGAGAAUCAAUACUUCCAAACAAAUAAACUUCAUCAUAGAAUUCAAUGAUUAACAUAAUUAAAACUUAUGCAUACUCAAUGACAGGGAAUAGGAUGCAAACCAAACGGUAGCAACCACCACUGUAUUUACUUGCCUUUACCGGAAGUUCGGGCAAAUCCCUAAGUACGAUCCGGAAGUCCACCACCUGUUUUUGACACCCAACUUAGUACACCAAUUUCACAUAAUCAGGCUCAUAAGCGAUGUCGCACCUACGCACAAACUCAAACCCCGCCGCGGGUUACAUCUCUCCCUACACCCACCAAACUGCAGCAGCGCUGCUUAAUAAUUUCAUAACUUUAAAAGUAUGACAGCAGUGGUAACAAACAAAAACUUCAGAGGCAUCUACAUAAAAUUCCCCACAAGUUUUGUAUACAAUUUAUAAUUAAAUUCCAAUAUCUAAUUAGUCCACAAGAUGAACCCUGUAAUCUGUUUUUCUUUGUCUUUUGGACAGCGACAUAUCCAGAUUCAAACAGCGAUAUCUUUUAAAAUAUAAUUCCAAAUCAAGCGCAUAAGUACUCAUUGGAAAGAUAAGACAAAUACCUACAUGAUUACCACACUGGUUAACACUAAUUACCCACGAAAAAUUCCCAGAAACUGCUAAUACCACUGCUGUUCACCCACCUAAAAAAUCUGUUUUUUUGGACAGCAACAUAACCGGAUUCAAACAACGAUAUCUCCUGAAUUAUAACUCCGAAUCGAGCGCAUAAGUACUUGUUGGAAAGAUAACAUAAAGCCCUACAUGAUUCUCAUACUGAUUAACACUAAUUACCCACGAAAAAUUCCCAGAAACUGCUAAUACUGCUGCUGUUCAUCCCCCUGAAAAAUCUGUUUUUUUGGACAGCCACAUACCCGGAUUCAAACGGUGAUAACUUUCAAUUUAUAACUCCAAAUUGAGCGCAUAAAUACUCGUUGGAAAGGUAAGGUAAAGUUCUACAUGAUCCCCAAACUGAUUUCCCUUAAUUCCUCACGAAAAAAACACAGAAACUGCUAGACUACUGCUGUUCACCCACCACCUAAAAUUCUGGACAGCCCCCCUCUACCCCAAUCGCAAACGCAACCUCUAAUCAAUUAAAUUGCAGCGCAAAUGAACAAGGGAUGAACACAAAAAUCACCUUGGAUUCUCCCCCUUUCCUUCCUCCCUUCUUCCCUCCACCAAAACGAUUGAAGACUCGCACCACGACGACGAUGAUCCGAGCGGCAAGGAUUGGCACCUUGGGAGGAGGGGAUUGAGAGGGGGGGCGGCUAGGGUUUGGUGGCUGCAAGAAUUGAGAGAGGAGGAGAUGGGCAGGGGGGCGGCGGCCAAGGGGGAAGAGAAGUGGGGGGGGCGGCUGCACAUGGGGGGGAGGGGGUUAGGAGGGAGGCGGCUAGGGUUUGAGAGGGUUAAUGGGCCGAAACUCCAAUUGCGGCCCAACUAACCCACGCGACAGCUCCCGACCGCAACGCAAGCGUCAAACCUAAUAAAUUCUACUGCCCUAGUUGUGAAUGUUUUCCACAAAAUCCCAAAUCCCCAAAACAACAACCGGAUGAGGAAAAAAACAAAAAGAACAACCCCCAACUUCUCUUCUUUGCAAACCGGGUAUCACACUCUACCCCUCUUAAAAAGAAUUCGACCUCGAAUUCUGACGCUUCUAUCGGAACAACAAAAGAAAGGUUAAUGAAUCAACAAAACUCACACAUAAAGAAAAGUUCGAGUACUUCUGCCGUAUCAGCUCCUCAAGCUCCUAGGAUUCUAAGAUACGCAGCAGACGACACUCUAGAGUCUGCUCUUGCUACACAGGAAUCGGCUCUAGCUCGAUUUGAUGGUCUGGAUUCCGCACAUACUUCCUCAACAAAAAGACAUGGAAUACUUGGUGUACUCUGAUCACAGAUUCCGACAAUUACAUGUGCUAAGCCCAGCUGCCAACUCGGCCAAGAUAGCAGACGGUCCUAUAUACCUCGGAUCAAGCUUUCCUGACACCAAAUCAAUCAUUGACAUAUGCAAGUACUUCAAGGAAUGUAUAUAUGAAUGCAAGGCAUAUAAUGUUCCUAUAGGCUAAACCAAACUUAGCCACACAAGAGCAACUUCAAGAGAGCAACUUAAUGCUUGCAUAUUUUUAGAUAGCAGCACAACAGUUAAUUGUUUUGCUCCUAACUCACAAAAAUAUGCAUCGAAAAUUAGUAAACUAGGACUUUAUGGAAAACUUAUAAAGUCCACUAUACCCUUGGUAUUAUCAUCACAUCAAGAUUUGACACUUAGAAAGGUCAAACAGUGCUAAACGUAAAUUUUGUCCAGACUUGGACAUAAUUCAACUACUCAAUUCAAAAAUCCAUAAUUGGGGUCUCAAUCAUCCAAAUCAGGUGCUCCCAGACUUUUUAGAAAGCUAGUAGAAUUGUCUAUAAUUCAUUUAUAAACAUAUCAAGUUAAUUCAAUGCAUAUUAAGGUCAAAAGACACGAGAAAGGCUCUGCUGUCCAAAUUUGGACAAAUUCAGAGAUCACACUUAAAACAACUGUAACUUAACUUAUAGAUCUCCAAAAAAAAUUAAUCCAAAAUUUGUUGUAACGAUUAAGAAAAGUACUACAACUUAUUUAUAAUUUAUAAUAAGUUAUUCGAAGUUUAAAUUGGGCAAACAAGGUCAGCUUCGAAAUCUGUAUAGAAUCUGCACAUAUUUCAAGACUGGACUUGAGAAAAUCAUAACUCCCAAACUACUAGACCUAUGGUCAUGAAAUUUUUACACAAGUAAGAUAAAUAAGUUGGCUACAACUUUUAUAUAUAACAUCUCUACAGAAAAGAUGGUUUACUUCACUGAACUAGCUGCAUAACUAAAACUGGUCAUGCAGUCCCAAUAGCAAGCAAUAGAUUUUAUCAGGUUCAUUACUCUUCUAAGAUUAAGCGUUCAUUGAAAGACUAAUAACUUUAGGUUCUUCAUUACGAGACACCUAGAACAAAUAUAAUUAUAGAAGCAAUAUGAUAACUUUUUAAAUCCUUUAAGCCUAAUCUCACAUCAUGCAAACAAGAAUCAAUUUAAGCAUGUUAUGUCUGCCCACAUAUUCAUCCAAGCACAUUCUAUACAUGAUAUCAUAACUCCCUGCAGCUAACAAAAUUUUGCAAAUAUAAACUCACUGAAAAGAUUAUAACAUUCCCUAGAACUUUUAUUAUAAUGAGUGUCUCGGAAUUGGUUUCCAAACCAAUAAAACAAUGCAACUCUUUUGUUUCAAAACUGAUAAGAUUGAAACAAUGGACAACUAAAAUUCAAAAACCUAUAACUCCUACUAUACUCAACUUAAACUACAACGAACACGCGUUGGAAAAGUUUUGAAAAUUGUCCACGACUUUUGCAAUAAAGUUGCACCCAAAUUUAUCCUUAUAGCCCACAACUCUGCAUGACCUACAACUAAACUCAGCCUGAGAUACUGCACAUUAGAGAUUCGACUUAUAUCCGGGCAACCACCUCUCCAAAUCUAUUUAACAGACAGUUACAAGUAAAUACCCAUUAAAAAGGUACUAAAAAUACCUACAAGUUUUGCUUAAAGAGAAUUCGCAAAUUUGUGCUCUGCAACUAUCAAAACGCGGUCGAUUCAUUGGUGAUUAUAACGACGCCUAAAGUUUAGACACAACAGUGCAACAACUUCAGAGCAACCUAACUCCAAUUAUAUGCAAUGAGAAUUAGAAACCCAUACUCUUUGAAAAGAUCAUGAAAUUACUAAAACUUUCAUAAUCCACAAAGACCAAAUUAUACCGUCUUCAAUGUCUACUCUUCCGUACAAAAUUAAAGACUCACUCUGCUAGAGACACCAACAAAGAUGUUUUAAGAAACCCAUAUCUCUCAAAUGUUUAGACCAAACAUGGUGAUUAAGCAUCCUAUGGAAAGAUGCAGAAACAUACUACAAAACAUUCUAGAUAAGUGAAGCCUGAUUCAGCCUCCAACUAAUUUAAAAUGCCUCCUGAAACCAAACAACACAUUAUCAACAAUAAAAAAACAAUAUAAAAUGAAACCCAAGUCAUUGGCAGGUGCCAUCAACACUAGGAUUUUCCACUACCAAACUGGGAUGCAACUCCACAAAGUCUUUAAAUAACACUAUACCAAAUAGGUUAGAACACUAAGCACAACAAUCAAUGAUUUCAACAACCUCGUUUGUUAAUGCCACUAAGGUCAAACAUCCAUGUACCGACAAUGUAUGAAACACCUGACAUACCCGUCUCUAGCUCUAUAAAACAUGGUUGUUAUUACACUAGAAUCCAACUACUAGAAAUCUCCAAAACUAUUCUAUUGACGUGAAGCAAAUGGUGCUCAUGUCAUAUAACAUCUUUUCCCCCUCUCAAAAGAGAUAAAAUUUGCAAUACUCCUAAAGCAAUGGAGGGAUAACAACAAGAAAAAACUAAUGUACUUCUUGACACAGACUCAUGCAAAAGCUUCAUAAAUAUUACUUUCAAUACUAAAAUAAUAACACGAUACUAUGCUCAACAGGAGUAAUUAGACUUCAAUAAGAUAAUCCACCUAACCCAACUACUUUGAUUAACCUCACAUACAACAAUACCUCCUACUAUUGCACUUGAACAAUUUGUACCUAGUGAUGUCAUAGGAUGAAUUCAAAGUAGUAGACAUACAUGAUCUAUCAAACCAUCAUUCAUAUAAUAAAAAUCUCCAUCUAAUGUAACAACCACAUCAUUAUAGAGAUAGAUGACUAACAAACAUAAGCAACUUUCAGUUAAACAUUGACUUUGUUUAAGAUAAAGCGGUCCAAAUAAUAAUUCCACAAGCAUGCAUAGAGAACUGAUCAUAUAAAAAAAACUACCAUGUAUCAUCGGCGAUUAAAAACAAUAUAAAAUGGGCUGUCCAUAUCGUCCGCAUGACUAGCCUCCAACAAAUAGAAAUUAUGCAUAACCUUUUUGGCUAUAGAAACAAACCAUAGAAGGAAAACAUGCAUGCCUCUUCAACUAUAAUAUAGACAUAAAAUCCACUUGAAAUCACCCUAUUUAUUAUUAAAGAUAAGGUUGCACACAAUAAGAAAACCUAUCAUGCAAACAUGGUUGGACUUAUCUACCCACGUCAUCUUGCAAAUUCACUUGAGUUCUUCUAGUCUCAAGAUUUCAUAGACAGUACAACAUUGCCUUUGCUCUAUGGAGACAAACCUAUUGUACUCUAAGAUCAAGUUGGCAAGUAGCCACACUAGCCAAAAAAAAAGGUGAGGUGUAAAGCACUGCACCCAUGGAAAUAUUACAUUGAUAAGUUGGGUUGUAACCCAACAGUCAAUCCAACUCAACAACACCAUAAAACUUCAUUGUAUAGUGUUUUCACACUACACCAAGUCGGAUUAGAUCCUCUAUACACAAGCUCAAUAAACAAUCGGUCCUACAAGUACUAGAACCCAAGAAUCCUUUUGGGAAAAAAACAUCCACAGUCAAGCAUAUAGAAAUAUAUGAUGGUAAUAGCUCAGAGAUUAGUAAACAUUGCAUCCCAAAAAACAUCAUGACGAUAUGUAUAUAAAACAAGUACAUUAGUAGCUUCACUCGCAUAAUAAUUUCAAUAACAACCACAUCAAGAAACCAAUAUUAAAUAGAAGUAACAUUUCAUAUCAAGCAUUACGUCGUUAACGACAUACCUCAUCAAACCAUAAAGGGGUUUGGAGUAAGGAAAUUCUAGUCAUCUACACAAUAAAAUACUAAUAUGAAAGAUAUAUGAACCCAUACCCUUCCUAUAUGUGCAAGUGUGUCAAAUUUAUCUUCAAAUUGCAUAGAAUCUAAAGCCUAUCCUCUGAUACCAACUGUAACACUCCAGGUUCCACAAACAACCCGGUAUGCUACUGUACUACACUUCCGACGUCCAUAUAUAAAAUUUCGGCAGCAUCCCCUUUGCAAGAUUGCAUAAAAGAGGGAGCAACGGAGUAUAAACAUAUAUCAUGACUAAAACAUACUAAGUAUUAUUACUCGGCUAGCAAGGAAAGAUAAACAUACGACCUGAACUGAAUUAACCAGUGCGCACGACCAUAUAAAAAAAUAAACAAACUUCCAUUGACAAUAAGUUUCUAAUUAAAUCAUGGUUGCGCCUGGGCAGCGUUAUUGUGAGAGUGAAAGUGGACGUGCUGCUACUCCCCUCAUUCCCAACAUGUAUCAAGUACCUGCAUUGAGUAAUGCAAGAGUGAGAUGACACAUCUCAGCAAGUAAAAUAAUAUCAAACAGUUUAACCACAUAAGAACAUUGUUUUACCACCACUUAAUUCCACAACCUUCUUAUUACGAAGGUGCAGCACGUAUACAACGUACAACGCACCUAGUUACCACACCUCGCAGGUAGAAACCACAAUAGUAACAUAGUAAUGUCACACUUCAUAUAUUCCUCAUGAGUGCAAAUGUCUGCAAAUGCAAGGAUGACUUCUGCCUUCAUACCUCUAAGGAUAUGAAGCCGCAUCGUACCCCUCCUCGGGCAACGUACGAUGCUAAAAAUGUACCGGUACGGUCGGACCAUAAGAUCACGACAUAACUUCAAAAUGCAAGAUGGAUGAUGCGAUGUGCAUGUCAUGCCUACAACACUUCAUAUAACAUGAUUCAAAAAGACACUUCAACUUCAUCCAGAUGGGAAUCAACCACAUAUAUCAUUACCAAAUUAUGAUCAUCCACAAUAUUAGACAAUUGAGAAUCAAUACUUCCAAACAAAUAAACUUCAUCAUAGAAUUCAAUGAUUAACAUAAUUAAAACUUAUGCAUACUCAAUGACAGGGAAUAGGAUGCAAACCAAACGGUAGCAACCACCACUGUAUUUACUUGCCUUUACCGGAAGUUCGGGCAAAUCCCUAAGUACGAUCCGGAAGUCCACCACCUGUUUUUGACACCCAACUUAGUACACCAAUUUCACAUAAUCAGGCUCAUAAGCGAUGUCGCACCUACGCACAAACUCAAACCCCGCCGCGGGUUACAUCUCUCCCUACACCCACCAAACUGCAGCGGCGCUGCUUAAUAAUUUCAUAACUUUAAAAGUAUGACAGCAGUGGUAACAAACAAAAACUUCAGAGGCAUCUACAUAAAAUUCCCCACAAGUUUUGUAUACAAUUUAUAAUUAAAUUCCAAUAUCUAAUUAGUCCACAAGAUGAACCAUGUAAUCUGUUUUUCUUUGUCUUUUGGACAGCGACAUAUCCAGAUUCAAACAGCGAUAUCUUUUAAAAUAUAAUUCCAAAUCAAGCGCAUAAGUACUCAUUGGAAAGAUAAGACAAAUACCUACAUGAUUACCAUACUGGUUAACACUAAUUACCCACGAAAAAUUCCCAGAAACUGCUAAUACCACUGCUGUUCACCCACCUGAAAAAUCUGUUUUUUUGACAGCAACAUAACCGGAUUCAAACAACGAUAUCUCCUGAAUUAUAACUCUGAAUCGAACGCAUAAGUACUUGUUGGAAAGAUAACAUAAAGCCCUACAUGAUUCUCAUACUGAUUAACACUAAUUACCCACGAAAAAUUCCCAGAAACUGCUAAUACUGCUGCUGUUCAUCCCCCUGAAAAAUCUGUUUUUUUGGACAGCCACAUACCCGGAUUCAAACGGUGAUAACUUUCAAUUUAUAACUCCAAAUUGAGCGCAUAAAUACUCGUUGGAAAGGUAAGUAAAAGUUCUACAUGAUCCCCAAACUGAUUUCCCUUAAUUCCUCACGAAAAAAACACAGAAACUGCUAGACUACUGCUGUUCACCCACCACCUAAAAUUCUGGACAGCCCCCCUCUACCCCAAUCGCAAACGUAACCUCUAAUCAAUUAAAUUGCAGCGCAAAUGAACAAGGGAUGAACACAAAAAUCACCUUGGAUUCUCCCCCUUUCCUUCCUCCCUUCUUCCCUCCACCAAAACGAUUGAAGACUCACACUACGACGACGAUGAUCCGAGCGGCAAGGAUUGGCACCUUGGGAGGAGGGGAUUGAGAGGGGGGGGGCGGCUAGGGUUUGGUGGCUGCAAGAAUUGAGAGAGGAGGAGAUGGGCAGGGGGGGCGGAGGCCAAGGGGGAAGAGAAG